CUUGGAUUUUUUCUGUCAUCUUGGAUGAAUCCUACAGACUCUAUAGAAACACAAUUGAGCUCCACAGGUCUGACUUGAAGUUUUCAGGAGUAGAGUCUGGGCACAUCAAUUUUGAGGUUUCUUCUGGGAUAAUUUGUGGUGAAAUAAAAGCAACAAAAGGAAAUUCCAUGUACCUCCUUCAGGUUCUGAUGGAAGAGGAAUCCUCCCGCAAAGGUAUCUCAAGAAUUAUUCUUUAUUUUGUCAUCUACUUCAGCCAGAUAUUACAUCAUCUUUGUCAAAUUCUCAGUUCUGUGUCUGUUACCAGAGUGAAUUUCCCCUACUUUUGGCAAAUUUGGACAUAAAAUCCUCAAAAAAUUAUGUAAAUGUGAGAUUCAGUAGCUGAUAGAAAGCAUAAGGAGAUUGGGAAUUUGCCUCGGUUUUUGUAGCUUAAAUUAUUGCUCAUCAACCCAGUUUAGUUGUGGGGAAUGCUGAAGAAAGAGUAAUGCGUCAGAGGACUGAGAGUUGCUUCCAGUAACAUUUGAAAAUGACUUUACAAAAAUAGGCACUGCUUUACAUUUUUGUUGAAAGUAUUUAAAUAUGAAAAGUAUAUUGAAUGUUGACCUUUUGUGAAAAGACUGUCCACUGGGAACACGUUCUAAAAAGGUAUCUAUGUGUAUGUAAGUGUGUACUCUGUGCAUACAUAUCUACAAUAAUCUGUUUGUCUGCAGAAAACGUUUUCCAGUUUCCACUGUUCGUAGCAGCAAACGUCCAAAACACAGCAAUGUCCUACAAGAACAGUUGGAGUAAAACAUUGAUUUGACAAUGACUUGUGUUGAAUGCUGACAUAUUUAGUCUGUACGUGCAAAAUUGGUACCUCUGAUUGCCCAGUGAAUAAAUAGCAUAGAUAAGUAGCUAAACUGAUCUUUGAAUUCGUCUUUGUGGUCACAUUUAGAGACAGGAAGCCCAAACCCAACACGAAAGUGCCUCUGACACAAAAUCCUUUGCCUCAGAGCUUCCUGUAAAGUCUUCACAGAGUCUCUGCCCUUUUGCAAGGUGUGCCUGGGGCUGCUUCUCCUACUGACAAUAAUUCACUCCUGAAUUCAAAUGGAUUCACAAAAUUGGCAUUUCUUUUCCGGCAACUCAAAGGUCAUGGUUUGGUAGACAAGUUUCAAGUACAAUGAAUGCUUUAAAAAAGGCAACCAGCGGCAGCAGCACAAGCAAUUGUACCCUCUUUUACUUAGUGUAUGAGUUAACAUAAUAUGUAAUUCAAGAAUAAUAAACCCACAAGUUUUUGCUAAGACUACUACACAAAGCAACACUGAAUGAAUCACAAUAUUAGUUGUCUGCAGUGCUAAGUAGGUGAUACAUAGACAACUUAGCUAGGAAAAGAAUUGAUUAGUGAACCAAAACACAAUGGUUAGGAGUAAAUCCAGGAAACAUCCUCCCUUUGUGAUAAUGAGAGGACAAAUUCAGAAUGCAUUUGCUAAGCUAUUGGAAGAGCAGUGAAAAAAAGAGUUUGCAGUUUAAAAUAAGAGGUUAAGCCAUUUCUGUUUACAUGGAUUUUAACGUAUCUGAUAGGAGCAGGGCCUCUGUUUUGUAACUAGAUUAGCUGAUGUGAAUCUGGCUGUAUCUGUGUGGCAUCACUGGGAUGAGUGGGAUCCAGAGGGAUGACUAACUGCAGCAGUGGAUUUGGUUUCCAGACUGGAGUGCAAGUUGUCCAGCUGGCCAAAUAGCUCUCAGUGUGAAUGCCCUGCUGUUCUGUACUCUAGACUUCUAGUACAGCCAUAUUACAUGCAAAAUUUUCUUCAUCUUGAGCAGAGCUAGAGAAAAUAUUAGAGCUCUUGCAAUUAAUAUGAGAAGUAGGGAAAAAACAUGUUUCUUAUGUAGCUGUACAUAUGUUGGGAAAUGAUACACAGAAAGACAUGCUAGAACAGAAAAAAAAAUUGUUUUGGAGGAAAAUGAAAUAUAAAGAAUAGAAAAACAAACCUUUUCCACCAAAAUUAAGAAAAGUGGAAGAGGAGAAAACAGGAAUAGUUUCAACCCUACAAAUGCUCAUCUACACUGCAUUCAGAAGUCCUUGAACAAGACGCCACAAUUUAAAAAAAUAUAUAUUAUUCCAGAGCAAAAUAGGCACUGUUUUGCUUAUUACACAGCUGGUGAUGUCGGCUAAAUGUCUUCAUUUGUCAUAGUAUCUUAUUACCUGCUUGAAAUUUUGAGUGAUGGAAACAAUUAAAAUUGGAAGGGAGAAAAAUAAACUCUGCAUGUUUCAAUCAAGUAAUCAGAACUCCACCUGAAAAGCAGGUGUUGCUCAGCUGUCAGUCAGUGUAACACAACUACGUGAAUGA
ensembl:lncRNA